ACUUCCCAGCCAAGACAGGUGAUGAGCACAAGAACUACCCAGAACAAUGUGGCCUGGGAUUCCUGAUACAGCAGCAACUUUCUGAUCAAAAACAGGAAAGACAGGACAUCAUUCAAAGCUCAGGCUCUAUGAUAACAUGAACAUUACACCCAAGCACAGUUGGAGACGCAUCUCACGUAUGGUAACAAUCUGCCAGCCCCCCGAAAACGGCUGACAAGGCCUUAAAGGGUUUGUGCGCCAAAUAAGAAGCAAUCUUUAGAAAGCAGGUCUGUGUGGGACAUCAGUUAUCACACAUAACGUUUGGUUAAAUGAUUCGUGUGGAUUCUCAGAAACCAGUAAACUCAGGAUGUAAAUCUUCAUGUGACCAGAGCAUAUGGCCUUUAAAAAUAAAGCAUAGAGUGAAUGGCAGGCAACCAGGCAGCCUAUCUUCUGUAAAAUCUGAUUGAGGGAAUCCUCUGAGAACUUUCUCUAACACACAGCUGGAAGGAUUUUAAAGGCUGACCUACUGUUUCCCUGAAGGGACAGAUGGAAUAAAUACUUUUACAGGGCCUGCUCCCCCCCACCCCUGGCCUCUUUCCAGGUGCAAACUUAAUGAAAGCAGUGGGCCUCUGUCUGAGGCAUUUUUUUCAGGGCAAAAUCCUGACUUCCUUGAGCUGCUUCACUGAUUUAUAUGGGGACAGUCCAGGUGAAUAAGGCAAAAAAAAUU